rnacentral:rRNA from 1 species
AUUGAACGCUGGCGGCAGGCUUAACACAUGCAAGUCGAGCGGGGAAGGGUAGCUUGCUACCUGACCUAGCGGCGGACGGGUGAGUAAUGCUUAGGAAUCUGCCUAUUAGUGGGGGACAACAUUCCGAAAGGAAUGCUAAUACCGCAUACGCCCUACGGGGGAAAGCAGGGGAUCUUCGGACCUUGCGCUAAUAGAUGAGCCUAAGUCAGAUUAGCUAGUUGGUGGGGUAAAGGCCUACCAAGGCGACGAUCUGUAGCGGGUCUGAGAGGAUGAUCCGCCACACUGGGACUGAGACACGGCCCAGACUCCUACGGGAGGCAGCAGUGGGGAAUAUUGGACAAUGGGCGAAAGCCUGAUCCAGCCAUGCCGCGUGUGUGAAGAAGGCCUUUUGGUUGUAAAGCACUUUAAGCGAGGAGGAGGCUACCGAGAUUAAUACUCUUGGAUAGUGGACGUUACUCGCAGAAUAAGCACCGGCUAACUCUGUG